AGCACCUGGUAACGCAGGGCUCGAGCAACGAUUUUUAGUUUGGCC
rnacentral:rRNA from 1 species